rnacentral:hammerhead_ribozyme from 1 species
ACACUGUUGAAGGGUCCCAAACAGGACGAAACAGCUGUCCAGUGC